UCCAAACCUCCAGGGGUGGGGCCCAGCAUUCUGUGUUUAACACAUCUCCAGGGAAAUGUGACAUUCCAUGGAAUUUUGGAGCCACCUCUCCACACCCCAAAGGUAUACUUUACACACAGCUCUCGUAUAGCUUUAUGUAAGUUAGUUAACUGCUCCAUGACUUCGUGUCCUCAUCUAUAAAGUAGAUUAAUGAUGGAGUCUAGCUCUGUGGCCUGGCUGGAGUGCAGUGGCAUGAUCUCGGCUCACUACAACCUCUACUUCCCUGGAUCAAGUGAUUCUUCUGCCUCAGCUUCCCCAGUAGCUGGGACUACAGAACUUCUAACUAUUUUGAUAACUCACAAAGCUAAAAAUGUUCAAUGUUUAGGAAAACACCAGAGAACUUUUUAAAAUUCAUGGUACCCCAAAGGCUGACAGCAAGAAUAUACUUUCUGGUACAUAAGAAAGAAAAAUGUAUUUGGUAUGACUGGCUGUUAAUAUGUCAUCAAGAUAAAUCAUAAGUCUUAUUCUUGGGAAUCUUAAUAAAAGAAGUCACUUGAGACAUGGAAAGUACAAAAAUAAUCACCAGGAGGCUCUACCUUUGACUAGAACCUGGGGAAAUUUUAAAAGUGUUCAUUCACAGAGACACUUAAAAAGACAUUGCCCAAAUUUAUCAGUGUCAUUAAUUUUGGUGACUAAAAAGUUUCCUUAGAGUAAUUUACAAUGCCAUCAUAAAAUACUUCAUCAAAAGGAAAUGCUUAGAUUUAAUACAAAACCGUAAACUCCCAAGGACUCUGGGACAAUGGUCUCAGCCAGUCUCCUGAGAAGAUGGAGUGAUCUAUGGCUUCCAUGUGCCUCAGGAAUUGGUCUCACCCUCAUCUAACGUUCCUGCCCUUUAGGUUGUCACAUGGCUCUGGGGUGUUUGUUUCCUUCUGGGACUCCAGAAAGAAAUGUGCUUUGAAACAACACUCUGAUCCUUCACUGUCUAUCUGAGGGGAGCAAGGGCAGGAGGAAUGCUGUCUUCUGGACACCGUAACUGGGUGAUGGAACGAAGUAAACAUGAUUAGUACAGCAAACACCCUGCGUCCACAUUCCAGCCUUGCGGUUGGAAGGAGCUAGUCCUCUCUAAAUGUUUUUGGGCACCUCAGUCAAUCAAGGCAAUUGGUUUCACUUCGUCUUAAGGUCAAGAAAGCUGUUAGCUACUGGGCCCUUCACAUGGCAAAAGAAGUCUAUAUACUAAAGAACAGAACCACCAGCUUUCCAUUUUUCUGCUAUUCUUCCCUACAAGCUCCUAAGGCAAUUAAUCCAAACUCUGGCACCAACCCUGAUGAAUUGGUGUGCUCCAGCUCUGCAUUCCCACUGCUGUCCAUGCCUCCUUCCAGGUGUUCUUGCUUUUAAUUUGUUUUGCUAAAGUAAAACUCCUUGUCUUCCUCCAUAAUUUUUCUGUUCGGUCAAGGCUUCACCAUUUACUUGGAUUCAAAACCUCUCUCUCAGCUGUACACAACCAUCCAAGUUGUACACAACCAGCUUCUUAAACACCCUCACUCUCCUCCCAUGUGCAAUCUCAUUUGCAAAGGGCUGGGCCAGCCAGACAUCUCACUUUACUCACCAGAAUCUUUAAUCUACUUUUGGUCUCUACCUGGAAAAAAAAAUUCUGCACAACAUUACCAAAUAAAUCUGCCAAAAGCACAGCUCUCCUGAUGUCACUCAGACACUCAGAACUUCUCAAUCAUUUCAGAUCUUCUACCAAAAGUAGUUCACACUUUUUAUCUAGCUUUGGCCUCUGUUGUGAUAACUAGCUAUGCAGCCUCACUUCUCACUAUUUCAAGCCACACAUAGAUGCACGAAAUGUCCCGACAUUACACCUCACAGUCGCUUCUGUUGCCAUUGUUCUUGCUCCUUCCUUGGCCUGGAAGGACCUGUCUCUGCUGCUACUGGUUAAAUUUCAACCAUUCUUUCCAACUAAAGUACAACAUUCUCUCCCAAGAAUUCCUUUACACUCUCACCAUCAGAAAAGCUGUUUUGUUUUUCUGUGGAAUCCUGACUAUAUCAGACUGACUGCAUUUUGCUAUAGUCUAUUAUUUUGUACAUAUAUUUUAU